ACAGAGUCUCGUGUCGCAUCUAGACAUUGCCCAUUGUCAUAGUUGUGCUUGAGUACUCGGAAAGUAACAACUAAUUUCUGUUCACUGACUGUCACUACUUUCAGUUCAGUCAGUCACUGGGUUAGUAACAAAA
rnacentral:snoRNA from 1 species